UACGGAGGAUGCGAGCGUUAUCCGGAUUUAUUGGGUUUAAAGGGUGCGUAGGCGGAAUAUCAAGUCAGCGGUAAAAAUUCGGGGCUCAACCCCGGCCCGCCGUUGAAACUGGCAGUCUCGAGUUGGAGAGAAGUAUGCGGAAUGCGCGGUGUAGCGGUGAAAUGCAUAGAUAUCACGCAGAACUCCGAUUGCGAAGGCAGCAUACCGGCGCCCGACUGACGCUGAGGCACGAAAGCGUGGGGAUCGAACAGG
rnacentral:rRNA from 1 species